UGCCGAGGGAGGAGUCGUGCAGGGCGACGGAGGAGGGCCGAGGAUAGCGCUGUAAGCAGGUGGUGGUCGAGCUUGAACAUGGCAGUUGGAUCUGAUGGCGUCCAGGUGCCGCAAUCAGCCUUCAGAGGGGAGACGACGCAUGGCUACGAGGGGUCUCAGAAGGU